GUGGGGAAUCUUGCGCAAUGGGCGAAAGCCUGACGCAGCCAUGCCGCGUGAAUGAUGAAGGUCUUAGGAUUGUAAAAUUCUUUCACCGGGGACGAUAAUGACGGUACCCGGAGAAGAAGCUCCGGCUAACUUCGUGCCAGCAGCCGCGGUAAUACGAAGGGGGCUAGCGUUGCUCGGAAUUACUGGGCGUAAAGGGCGCGUAGGCGGACAGCUUAGUCAGAGGUGAAAGCCCAGGGCUCAACCUUGGAAUUGCCUUUGAAACUGGCUGUCUUGAGUUUGGGAGAGGUGAGUGGAACUCCGAGUGUAGAGGUGAAAUUCGUAGAUAUUCGGAAGAACACCAGUGGCGAAGGCGACUCACUGGCCCAAUACUGACGCUGAGGCGCGAAAGCGUGGGGAGCAAACAGGAUUAGAAACCCGGGUAGUCC
rnacentral:rRNA from 1 species